UACGUAGGGGGCAAGCGUUUGUCCGGAAUCAUUGGGCGUAAAGAGCGUGUAGGCGGCUUGGUAAGUCCGCUGUGAAAGUCCAGGGCUCAACCCUGGAAUGCCGGUGGAAACUGUCAAGCUUGAGUCCGGAAGAGGCGAGUGGAAUUCCUGGUGUAGCGGUGAAAUGCGCAGAUAUCAGGAGGAACACCAAUGGCGAAGGCAGCUCGCUGGGACGGUACUGACGCUGAGACGCGAAAGCGUGGGGAGCAAACAGG
rnacentral:rRNA from 1 species